GAGAAGAAGUCAGGAUUUUCCACUCUUUGUAAAAAAUUAAAAAAAAUUGUGCCAAUAGCACAAAGGACAUUUAAACUUGUUUUCUGGACAAUGUAUCAAACCGAAAACUCAUGACAUGUUGAUACUUGAAGCAUACUGUGAACAUUUUCCUAACCUUUCCUAUAUCAUUAAAAAGGGUUUAAUUGGUAUUUGCUGUAUUAUCAAAUGUAUGAAUUUGACCAAAAGCAUGUUUAGUACCAACAGGCUGCGUAUUUCAUCUUGCGGACAGUUAAACUUUUCUGUACAAGUAGAAACAUUCUGGGAACACACUCUCAAAUUUAGCUCAUGAACAUACUAUGGAAGAAAUCAUCCCUGAGGGGAUCCUGUGAGAUGAGCUGACUGAGUUUGCAAUCCAUCCGGGCUGGGACCUGAAGGAGGGAUUCAUUGCAUGGAAGCUGCUCUAAUAGACUUCACUGAGGACUGGGAGAGAGGAACUGGGAAUCGCUCCUUCGGCUGUGAAUUACUCCAGACCACUGGCUUCAGCUACACUGCUGUACCCCUGCUGUCUCUGGCUCCACACCUCCCGGGCCAUCUAGAGGUGUGAAGGCACUGACAAAGAAGCGGAGGAGGGGAAUUGUGCCACCCGCUAACAGAGGGACAGAAGGGCGUUGGCACACCGUCCUAGAAGAUGAUGUGGAGCCACCCCAACCAACUUUUAGGCCGAAAAGGAAUCCAGGACCUCAGGACCUGAGCCCUUGGACCAUGCUUCAGGACUACCUGCCAUGAUGACUCCUUGCUGUCCCCAGUCCAACCGGCCUUGCUGCUGUUCCAGUUUCAACUGUACUGCCUGCGGCUACAGAACCCUAAACUAUUCAUUUUUACUCUUGAGGUGCUGUCCUGUUGCACCAUCUACAACCACUGUGAUCUCCACCCGGCACAGCCAGAAGAGGAUUGGCCACCCCUCAUAGCCUGG